AGUGAACGCUGGUGGUAGGCCUAACACAUGCAAGUCGAACGGCAGCACAGUAAGAGCUUGCUCUUACGGGUGGCGAGUGGCGGACGGGUGAGGAAUACAUCGGAAUCUACUUUUUCGUGGGGGAUAACGUAGGGAAACUUACGCUAAUACCGCAUACGACCUACGGGUGAAAGCAGGGGAUCUUCGGACCUUGCGCGAUUGAAUGAGCCGAUGUCGGAUUAGCUAGUUGGCGGGGUAAAGGCCCACCAAGGCGACGAUCCGUAGCUGGUCUGAGAGGAUGAUCAGCCACAAUGGAACUGAGACACGGUCCAGACUCCUACGGGAGGCAGCAGUGGGGAAUAUUGGACAAUGGGCGCAAGCCUGAUCCAGACAUACCGCGUGGGUGAAGAAGGCCUUCGGGUUGUAAAGCCCUUUUGUUGGGAAAGAAAAGCAGCAGGUUAAUACCCCGCUGUUCUGACGGUACCCAAAGAAUAAGCACCGGCUAACUUCGUG
rnacentral:rRNA from 1 species